AGAUUAUUGAAGUAACUUGCGUUGUGAAACGAAAGUCUUUGGAUUGGUUUGUUAGUGGUUUAAAUGAUGGCUGUGGCGGAGCUGCAAGUGCGGUUGUUUACGAAACAAAGUCAGUAUGCAGUUCCAGACACGCCGUUUUCUGUUGCUUCCAAUGUAACGUGCGUCGAACUGAACGCAUUGGUCAACGAGCUGCUAAGAGAAAACAGGACGUCAGAGUGGCAUGAUGUAGAGUUCGAUUUCUUGCUAUCCGGAGAAUUCCUUCGUGUUUCACUUCUGGAACAUCUUGAAGAAAGAGUUAUAUCUAGUGAAGGCACAGUUGACAUAGAAUAUGUGGAACGCUUCCCAGCCCCAGAACCGAAGGACUGUCUUCUACACGACGACUGGGUUUCCGCUGUACAAAUUAAAAAUAAAUGGAUUCUCUCAGGUUGCUAUGACAACACUUUGCACAUAUGGACAAGCAAAGGAAAACACAAAUUAACAAUACCUGGGCACACAGGACCAGUAAAAGCUCUCUCAUGGAUUUCACUUGAUGACAAUCGAGCAUCAUUUGUCAGUGCAUCUCAAGAUCAGACUGCUAUGAUAUGGGAAUGGAAUGUCUCAAACAAUUCUGUUGAAUGUAUUCACAUUUGUCGCGGACAUGAAAGGUCUGUGGAAUGCAUUGGAGUGAGCCCAAAUGCUGUUCUUUUAGCAACUGGAGGUUGGGAUGCAAUGCUGAAGAUUUGGUCAGCUUCACUGGAGGAGCAAACACAUACAGAUGGUGUUUCAUCCACUAAGAGGUUUAAAGGAGAACAUGGAAAAUCACAAAUUAGGACUCCUGUACUUACUUUAAAAGGCCAUAAAGAGUGCAUUUCUUCUGCCUUGUGGAUUGACUCCAGUGAAAUAUGCACUUCCUCUUGGGAUCACACAUUAAGAACAUGGGAUGCUGAACUUGGUGGCAUUAAAACUGAACUUGUUGGGAACAAGCCAUUUUUUGAUGCUGAUUGGUCCCCAUUGAACAGAACACUUGUAACAGCCUCAGCUGACAGGCAUGUGCGUUUAUAUGACCUGAGGUCAAAAGAGGGUUCCUUAAUCAAAAACACAUUUACCUCACACACACAAUGGGUGCAGAGUGUAUGUUGGUCUAAAACUGAUGAACACCUUUUUGUAUCUGGAAGCUAUGAUCAGGAUAUGAAGCUUUGGGACACAAGAAGUCCAAAGGCACCUUUGUAUGAUAUGAGUGGACAUGAAGACAAGGUGCUAUGCUGUGAUUGGUCAAGACCUGAUCUUGUGGUGUCAGGUGGUGCAGAUAACACUGUCCGUAUUUUUAAAACAAAACAUAUCAAGGUAGAAGAGAUGUAAUAAGUAACAGAUCUUAAAGUGCUAAUAAUGUGCAAAAGACAACACUACACAGUAGGUGUAUAACCAAGAUGAGCUACGAAUGAACAUUCAAAGGACUUCCUUCCACCAAUGGAGGUUCCACGGAAUGUGAGCAAGAAACAUCACAAAGAAGAACACGUUGUGCAAAAGCGGGAAGCUACUGCAGGGAAGAAGCAAGUUAUGAGAAAGCGGUGUAAGAAGUGCGCGGAACAAGGCAAGUGCACUGAUACACCAUACGAGUGUACAACCUACACAGACAAACCUGGAUACUGCUUGAACUGCUGUAUAAUUUCCCACAAGUGGCAAAAACUCGAUAAUAUCGGGGAAAUUCCAAUUAUCAAAGACAACUUCUUUUAUUUCUUUUGACAUUGCAAUGUUUCUUUUUAUGACGUGAAACGUUAGAACUUUUUUCACGAGUACUCAGAAAAUGAGGUUUUCUUUUGUGUUAAGUCGACUUAUUUCUUAUUGCGUUGUAAAACGUUCACUUCAGUUUUUUGGGCAUUGACAUAUUGUCUCAGUGAGUCUGCAGUUGGUAUUCAGUCAGUAUAGUCACUGUCUCAGCAAGUUCACACCUGCUAGUUAAAUAGUAUAGUCACUAAGUCAUUCAGAACCUUGCAGUUAGAAGGUAUAAAUGUAAGUGAGCUUGUGUUUGGACAUCCAGAGUGAAUAGUAAGUUCACAGUGAAAUUUAUAACUUGUGAAUCUGUUUCAAUGAUUAUUGUCCCUUGUCAGAAUUUGGAAUAUUCUCGAAGUUUGUGUAGCUUACUGACAUGCAAAGAUAGUGAUGUCCUACUGUAGUUUUUCAAAGUUGAUCAUCAAAGUUAACUGUAUGGUAAUAAGUGUGUAGAGAAAUGAAAACAAAUAUACUGUGCUAUGUACAUCAUUUAAUAACAGUUCACCACCAUCAGUAAACAUGGGAAGGAGAGUAAAGCAGACAUUCUACAAGAGUUAUGAACAGUGCUUACGGUCCAGGCCAGUAAGUUACAAUAUGGCCUAUCACAUACGCUACUCACUUCAGAAAUGUAAUUACAGCCACCAUCAACAUAAGCAAUGAGAAUGAUGAUGUAUUUUGUAUAUUUUAAACAGUAUAAUAGGUACAAUUUACAUUUGUUUGCUUUCUAAGAAAUUUAUUGUGCUUUACCUUUUUAAUGA